GCAUUUUUUUUCCAUUUAUUUAUUUAUGUAUUUAUAUAUUUUUGUGAGACAGAGUCUCACUCUGUCACCCAGGCUGAAGUGCAGUGGUGCUAUCUUGGCUCACUGCAAUCUCUGCCUCCCGGAUUCAAGCGAUUCUCCUGCCUCAGCCUUCUGAGUAGCUAGGACUACAGGUGCACACAACCACGCCUGGCUAAUUUUUGUAUUUUUAGUAGAGAUGGGGAUUCACCAUGUUGGCCAGGCUGAUCUCGAACUCCUGACCUCAGGUGAUCCACCCAUCUUGGUCUCCCAAAUUGCUGCUAUUGGAUUACAGGCCUGAGCCACCACAUCCAGCCUUUUUUUUUAUUUUUCCAUUUAAUUGUGAUUCCCAGCCUACUUAUCUCUAUCCACUGUUAGAAUUUAUGCUCUGUGAGGACAGGGGCCAUGAACUACAUCUGCACUAUUUUUGGCAUUCUUUUUACUAGUUAUUUACUGAAUAUUUACUAAUUAUUUACUGAAUCAGUAGUCAAGUCCAUGUAGGAACAAAUGAAUAAAACUUAUGUGUGGCUCAACUCUUAAGGAAUAUGAAACCACCUUUGCAAAAUUAUAACUGAGGAAAUUACAACAAUGAACGAAAUCAGACUGGGAAAGCCUUUGUGGCUACCUGCUUGUGGUUUGGUGCCCCCGCUCCAGCGAUGGAUCCAGAAGGUAGCCCAAGUAGCCGCCUAGUUCUCUUGGACUGGGGGCUGGCUCUGGUACUCUCUCCACUGGCAGGCACUGCCAACCCAAUGUGCAUGCAUUUAAUUGCAACGGAGAAAUAAUCCUGGAGAGAUGUCCUCUAACUGUGGCCCUAUCACAGGGUUUCCGUCUGUAGCUGCAUUGAAGGGUGUCUGGAUUGGUGAGUAUCCUAGGUGCUGCCAAUGCCUCCUUCCUUCUCCUGACUGGUUCUGUGGCCCCAUAGUGGGGUGUCUGUCUGUAGCCCCAUUGCAGGGUGUUAGGAUUGGUGAAUCUACUAGGCACUGCUAAUGCCUCCUUCCUUCUCUCGACUUGUCUGUAGCUCUAUGAUGGGGUGUCUGUAGCCCCAUUGCAGGGUGUCUGUAGCCCCAUUGCAGGGUGUCUGUUUGUAGCUCCACCACGGGGUAUCUGUUCGGCUCCACUGGGGUCUUGGUUGGCUCUAACUAGUAGGAAGAGUCUUGGUUCACGAGACUUGUCCUCAAUCAGGACAAUUUUGAGAUUUCUCAGACAGAGAAUAGGAGGAUAGUUUGGAAGGGAUACUCUUGGAGUUCCUGUUUAGGGAUCAUCUGAUUUGGAAGGCCUUCUGUCUGUCUCAUCUUCGUGUGUGUUUGUAUAUGUGGAGGGAAUCUCAGAAGGAAUUGCUGAAGGAAGUCCAGCAGGCCUAACUCAGAGGACUCUUCUUAUUUGGUUACAUUCGAUGAGCCCUGGAGAAAGUUCAAUAGGCCUGUCUCAUGGUGACUAUCUGCUCUUUGCCUUACCCAGAGACCCCAUUGUGAAUUACUGUUCUGAGGUCGUCCCUCCCCACCUGGAGUGGAUCAAAGACAACAGGGACGAACAGAAAAAAGUCUGAGCUUUGCCAGGUUGAUAUUGGGUGCUGAACGAGGUGACUAGUGUCUGUUUUGUUAUGUGAAUUCUGCUGGGAUAGAAAAUGUUAAAUGGUUCCCCAUGCAGCUGGUUGGGCAGCAUCUUGCAUUUUAAGAAUCUUGCCUAUGUUUCCAUAAAACAGAAAAUGGUGACUUUUUUCUUGUAAAGUGGCUUGAACCCCACAACUAUGGUGAGGUGAGCAGGCUGAUCAGAAGCCGUUCCGUUCUUCUGGAAGUUACAGAGAAAAGGCACCCAGAAAUCUGGUAUGCCAGCAAAAAGUGUAAGAAAUUCUUACCAGCUAGGUUUCUGGUCUCUCUCUCUUUCUCCAUCUGUGUAAACAGUAAACAUCACUAUAUGUUUCUCUGUAAAGUUUUGAUUAAUAGAAAAAAGAAUUUACAAGACUAGUCUUAGCCUAUAGCAAAUCUGGUGUAUUUUUGCUAAGAAUUUGUCUUUCAGUGUUCUGUAAUGGAAAGAGGGGUAUCACAAGAUAGAACAUGGGUUUAGGACCCCUAUAAGCCUGCUUUUCAAGCCAGCUCAGCAGGCUGGCCAAUUAUAAUGGGUCCCUGAAACCAAUACUGUAUGAAAUUUCUCUGUCUUGUUUGGCCUCCUUAAGAGCUUAAUCUUGUGACCAUAUGUGGAUACUUCCUUUUGGUUUAUACCAUCCAGCCCUAAAAAUUUUUCUUGAGCAGUUAAAAGCCUUGGCAAGGUUAAAAGUGGCUUCUCUAGUCUCCUUCUUGGAAUAGCAAUAGAAACUGCUCAAUGCUGUAAUUCAGUAGCUAAGACUUUGCCUUUUGACAUAGAGGCUCAGGCUCUAUUCUUGGCUUCUGGAACAAUUUCCUUCUGGUUUGCUAUUUGCAUAACUUUGCCAUUUAAUGAGGUUCCCCCACAACCCCAUGGAUAGCUUCUGAUUUCCUCUCUUGAAUUUUCCUUUCUCUGGACUACCUUGGGGAAAUUCUAAAUCUUGUAAAAAGAAACUGCUUACCACACCUUUGAAGCACCUGGGAAGUUACUUUUGAUAAAGUUCAAAAGCCAGAAAUGUUGGCCGCAUGGCUAAAGUUGGGUAAUACGAAAUUUAAAAGGAUUUUGUUAAGAGCACUAAGGUUAAAAGUCAGCUUAAUUAAAAGUGAAUAAACAAGUUAUGGAUACAUUUAAAAGACCUUUAUGUUUUUCUCUUCUUGGAUCUCGUUUUUCUGUAAAAGAGGGUUUUUUCUUCUUAGUAAACUGAAUUAUUUUUCUCCAUUUUUUGUCUUGCCACUCUUAAUGCACACAUAAGAGGCACUAAGAUAACUUUUGGUAGCCUGAGACUCCUUGAGAAAAACAGAGGAAGCACCACAGACCCCAUUUUGGGAAAAACAAACAACAAGAAACAAACAAAAAACCCUCUGUUUUCUUCAUGACAACCAAGGAAUUAAAAGUAGAUGGAUCACUCUCAAAAUCAAAGGCUCUGUUCUGUUUUGCAUUGUGUUAUCUGACAGUUUGAAUUUUGGGGAUAUCAGAAAUUACUUUGCAUUAUGAGAUAGCUUUGGUAUGUAAUAACUAGGUAGGAAAUAUACUUUAAGGGAUGGCUAAUAGUAUUUUCAGAGGGAAACUUGGCUCUUCGCACACUUGGGUCAGAGAAGCAUGCUCUGGGCCACCUGGAAGAUACGGAAACAUCCCCAUGCCUGACUGAGAGAUGAGACUUCCAUGGGGGAUGGGCUGAUUUCAAAAUGGGUUGAUUGGCUUUAGGUUGCCUUGCAAUAAAAUGCAGGUUAGAAGCACUGCACUCUCUUCUCCAGUAGUAUUUCCUUCCUUUUGGGGAUCUGGGAUCCAGUAUAAAAUGGCAUCCUUCAUUUUGGAGAUCUGUCUUUGCCUUCAGCUGUGCCUGCUUAUUUAGCUUGGAAAAAAAAUGCAUGCUUUCCUGGCCCUGUUCCUCCAAGGGCUCCACUCUGAAGCCAGUAGUCCAGUUAACAACUGGCAAAUAAAAAAUCUUACAAGUGCUGAAUUUUCUGUCUGUCUGUGUAUUUAUAUAAACUUCUAUAAUUCUGAUAAAAUUUACUGUACAUUAUUAGUAAUUAUAAUUGUUAUACAAAAUUGUUGGAUGCCACAGAAGUAAGCAAAAUUCCUAGUCAAUUAUAGCUUUAAUAGUGUCUAUAGACUUUUGUCAUCCACAGACAUUUUGUCUUGCUUUGGUCGUUUUCAAAAGGCAGUUUAUAAUCAGGUAUAGGACUCUGAGUGCAGGUCUCAGAUAACUUUAAAAAUUGUGCUAUUGGAAUAGAGGAAAAAAACAAAACUUCCAGGACUCUCAUGAAGAGCUGAUGUCUUAAAUGUCACCAAUCCUUCAGUUUUCACAGUCAAGAUAACUUAUUUCUUUAGAGAUAUUUGCAACUUUUAACAAGUAGGUAAAAUACACUCCUGUGAAAAAAUUUUGAAGCAUAUUUGUUUCUCUCUACCUGAUUUCUCCAGAAUUUGGAAACUCUUUGUAAGUAUUCUCAAUUUAUGGCAGCAUGGUUAAUUCCAUAAGCACAAUAAAAAUCUGUUUUCUUUUGUAACAUGACACAAUUGGAGAAAUUGGUUAUUUUACCAAGGCUUUGACUGGAAUGGCACUCUUCCCUUAAAGAAUCGAAGUUGACUUACAGAGCCAAUAAAAGCCCCUUGGGGAAUCUGGCUUCAUACCUUGUCUACACAGAGUCCUUGUACAAGGUUCUUGAUCUGUAGUAAGUAAAGAAUAUCACUUUCUAACAGGUUCAUGAGCUCCAAGUUAUCUUGGGACCUUGAGAGGAGAGGAAUUUACCCAACUCAUAGGUAUUUAAGGGUACAAAUGCAUGGCUGGGAUUGGCUCUUAAAAAGUCUUAUCUGAGAUUCCUCAUGGAACAGAGUUCCAUCAAAGCCAAUUUAAACAAAAAACAGCCUAAAUAAAAAAUAAUUAUUCUUGUUGCACUUCAUGCAAAUAAUCAGGCCAAGUACAGUAAGACUAAAGCUUAUUUUGGUAAACAGAUUAGUUCUAUUAUAAUUUACUUUUAAUAAAAAUAGGGUCUGGAGAGAAAAAUUAUGCUUCAAAAGAAAACAUAUAAUAUACCCAUUGUUAGUUUUGUUUGAGUUUUUUCCUACAGUUUGGACUAAAUCCUAAAUUCUUUGUGGAUUAGAAGUCCCCAAAUUAAUGCUUUCCAAUCUUUGCUUUUAAAAUUGAGAAUUGUACUCCUCAUCCUAGGAUUUGUUAUUUACCUUACAGGAGGCUGUUGGCUUAAAUAUUAUAGCAAAACUACAGAGGAGAGUACUAAUGUUUUUGCAUUGCAAGCAUUGGAAGCCCAGCCAGUCCUGCAUGAGUAUGCUCAGACAGUUGCAAAGUGGUUACAUUCUUCUCACCUUGGGGUUCACUCUAAUUUCCACUAUGUCUCCUGUCAGCAGGAAGAAGCCAGAGUGAUCGACAGCCUUUUCCCAUCUUCAUAGCCUACACCUUAAGAUUAAGCUAUUAGAAAACCCAAACAGAGGGAUUGAAACUGCCUUUGCAAUAUUAUAACUGAGGUAAUUACGACAGUGAAAGAAAUAAGACCUAACCAACUCUAUCUUGCUUCUAUCCCUUAAGCUGUUCUUAUUCAUUCCUGGGCAUAGGCCGAACUGACUUUGGGAAGGAAUUCAGUUCAUGGUUUGACUGAAACAAAACCGGUAACAGCCUUUUCUCGAAAAGACCCUCUUCUUGCCUGGGGUCCAGUCUCCCUUUGCAGGACUAACAAAUUAGCUACAAGACUAAAAAUUACAAUGUAAGGGACAUGCAGCCUCUGGCUCCUAGAAUUGGAAUGUCCCCAUUGUGCUCCCAGGGAUAAUAUCACUUUAUAAAAUCUAAUAUCAGCACUUAAGAUAUUUUUCAGACGCUGCACUCAAUGGAUCAGCUGACACCACCCAAACCAGUAAUCUAACCCAACCAGUUCUGCCAUCACACCCAGGAAGAGAACACAGCAAGAAAACCUCACUUUGACACCCUAUGAUUCCAUCUCCCACCUGAGUAAUCAGCACUUCCUACUUCCCAAGCCCCUAGCUGCCAAAUUAUCUUUAAACGUUCUUAUUUCUGAAUGCUCGGGGAGACUGAUUUAAGUAAUAAUAACACUACCCUCUCCAGAACAGCCGGAUCUGCGUGAAUUACUCUUACGCCAUUGCAAUUCCCCUGUCUUGAUAAAUUGGCUCUGUCUAAGCAGUGGGCAAGGUGAACCCACCUGGUGAUUACAAAUUCUUAAUAGCAAACCAGGUAAGUUUGAUUUCAUUUAAUAGAUGAUAGUUGCAUGUUGGAUAUUUCAACAGAAGGAAGGCAUGUUCAUUCCCCUAUCCAUUCAGGUAUAUUUAAUGAGCAUAAAUUCUUGAAACUUACUCUGCUGUUAUUGGGGGUACCACUUUGGCAGCAUGUCUGUACACUUUGAAGUUUGCAGUCAAGUGGAAAAAUACAUAUGCAAAUAAGUAAAAUGAAAAAUAUUAUAAGAAUGUAAAUAAUUAGCAGAAGCUCAAGAAAAGCAUAAGCAAAGUGUGUCUCAGGUACAGCUGUCCAGAGAAGGGAGGGCUUGGCACUGAGACCUGAAGGACUGGUAGGAAUUUGUCCCCUGGAAAACUAGGAGCUGGUCUUUUGGCAGAGAGCAGUAAGGAAAAAAGCACAAAGGCUUGAGGGUGUCUCGUGUAACCAGAAAACUGGGAGAGCUGGGCUUUAGAAGGAAUAGAAAUGUGAGGCCAGGACUGAAGUGGCAGUGAUCAGAGACAGGGCAAGUAUUUGAAGAUGUUUGCAGAAAGUUAGAUUAAUGGCAGAGUUUGAGAGUCAUGCCAACCUGAGACCACUCCUCUCAACAGACUUUUGACCUAAAGCAUAUUUUGGAGGCAUUCUCUAAGUAUCCCCUUCAACUACAAUAUGGAAAUAAUAGCACAACUGUAUUGAUUGAUGUUAAAUAUUAAAUCAGAGAGAGUGCAUGAAUUAGCUAUCAUAUGGUAAGUAUUUUUUAAAGAAAUGGUUACUAUAGAUUAUUUUUUGUUAUUAUAAUAAUCACUGAAUGAAAGCUGCAGUGAUAAUAAAAAUGGCAGGAAUCAAUUAGAGGAAAAAACUUAUCAGGACCACAGUUUUGGUUCCAGGCAAAGUGAUGUAAUGCUUAAACACAUUACAGGAUACAAUUCCUCAAGAGUUUAAGGUAAUAAUAGCUGUCUACAUUUGGUUGUUUAUAAUUAUCAAACCACGACUUGUUUUUGACUAGUGGCUUUCAAUUUACCCUAUCUUUAUCUAAUGAUCCCUUGAUUCCAGAGCUUAAGUUAAAUGUUGUGAAGUUAGACAUAAACCCCGGAGAGAAUUGUUCUAUAGGGAGAAUCAAAGGAGUAAAGAAACAACAACAAGGUAAUAUGAGUGAAGUAAAUACAGUAUUUUUUUAUGAAGUUGAAAUCAUGCUUUACAAAGAUUAAUGGAAAAACUGGAUACACAUGUUUCAAAAGGUAGAAAAAAUUGUCUGAAAGUUCAGAUAGUAAAAAAGAGAAAAGGCAAUAGGGAGCCACUGUAUGUCCCUGAGCAAAGUUAAUUACAUUAAUAGAUCACUAGCAGAUAAGCAGAGAGUGUUAACUAACUGGUCAACUUUCCUAAUAGAACAAACCUAUGUCAAGUCAGUUUCAUAAGAAUUAUGUGACGAUCUUCAAAGGUAAUAAAUGCCUGCAGGGUAUUUAAGAUUGAGCUAUUCGCGGUGAGGAAGGGGGUAGUCAUCUGACUUUUUUUAUAUGACUACAGAUUGCUGCGAUAUGUUAUAAGGUUUAGAAUUCACUGAUCUAGUCCAAUUUCUUCCUUUUCCUGUGAGGAGAAUGAAGCCAAAGAAGCGUUAUGACCUGCUGGAAUACUAGCUGCCUAAGUAACUCUAUCCCUUAGGCUUUUUCAGCUUCUGUGUAUAAGACAGGUGACCUAAAAGUUGUGUGCAGAAUGGAUUGGAGAGUUAAGUCCUGGAGGGAAGGAUACCAGUUAAAAACAAUAACAACGGCAAAACAAAACAACUGUGAUAUUAACCCAUGAAAUAUUAUAUUAAAGUAGUCAGUAUCAGGACCAACGAGAAAGAGGAAAAAAUUGAAUCACUUUAAACAGACCAAGAAUGUAAUUCACAAUAAGAGAUGUCGAAGAAGAUAACAAUUCAGAGGCUCUCAGAUCUGAUUCUGCGAAAAAGAAGCUGAAAGAAAGGAAUUAACUUCUUUCUGGCUCAAAGACAUCUGGAAAACAUAUGACCUCCGUCAAUAUCUCUAACACCAGGUCCCAUGAUUCAAACUACACACAAUCAGUAAGAAAAGGAAUUCAACAUGUGUGCUAUCGGCUCACUUCCUUUCUUGUGUUUAUUUCAGAGCAAUAAAUCAAGUGUUUUCUAAGUUCCUACUCCCAAACUCCUAGUCAGAAAAGGACUCACCUGCCAUAGGGAACAGCCUCUGUCCUUUUUUACAGCGUUGGAAAGAGCCUCAGAGUCAAAAA